UGCCUUUAGGUUCGGAAUAACUCAAAGAAAUUUGAGCUAAUACCGGAUAAUGUCUUCGGACCAAAGAUUUAUCGCCUUUAGAUGGGCCCGCGUUAGAUUAGAUAGUUGGUGGGGUAACGGCCUACCAAGUCGACGAUCUAUAGCUGGUCUGAGAGGAUGAUCAGCCACACUGGGACUGAGACACGGCCCAGACUCCUACGGGAGGCAGCAGUGGGGAAUAUUGGACAAUGGGCGAAAGCCUGAUCCAGCAAUGCCGCGUGAGUGAUGAAGGCCUUAGGGUUGUAAAGCUCUUUUACCAGGGAUGAUAAUGACAGUACCUGGAGAAUAAGCUCCGGCUAACUCCGUGCCAGCAGCCGCGGUAAUACGGAGGGAGCUAGCGUUGUUCGGAAUUACUGGGCGUAAAGCGCGCGUAGGCGGCUUUUCAAGUCAGGGGUGAAAUCCCGAGGCUCAACCUCGGAACUGCCCUUGAAACUGGAUGGCUAGAAUAUUGGAGAGGUCAG
rnacentral:rRNA from 1 species